UUUUUUCUUGGAUGGAUCAUUUUGGAUGAAGAUGAAGUUGGCAAUGACAAUAGUACCGACGAUUUUGCCAAGAAUAGCAGCGAGGCUAGUUAAUAAACUCCAUUUUCUGUGUGUCGUCCUUCGAUCUUCUUCUUUCAAAACUCUUUAAUCUCAAUAUCGCCAUAUCAUUUACUCUUGAAAUAGAUCCAUUUGAACACGGUGAAGAUGACAUAAAUAUAAAUUUUACUAUCAAAGAAUAUUCGUGAAUACAUAAAUAAAUAUCACAAAAUUCUUUUAACUAUAAAUACAAAAUGAAAAAAAUAAAAAUAUGAACUUCAUUAAAGUUGAGUGCAUAGCUAAUAAAUCUGGAAAAGAUAUCCAUGCCAAGGCUUGAGUUGUUUCUACUUCCGGUUUAGAUUUUACAUCAUAAAUUAGAGGACACAUCUGAUAUGCCAAUCCAUCCUUAGCUAUGAUAUAAUAAACAUUCUUUGAUAACAUAUUGACAUAAUCCUCCAGGAGAUUAAAUCACAUCAAAAUGUGUCUAUUCUGGAGAAGACUAAUUUUACACUCACCUUUAAUGUUGCAUUGACGUGGAAUCUGCACCCUCAAAUCUUCCAGUUCUGGCCAUACGUAUGAGAAUUUCCCAAUAAUAUCUAAUUGUAGAUUUUCCAUGGCAAAUUCAUCUUUUGAAGCUCUUCAUCAGUCCAGGUCACUCUGGAAACUCCAUUAUUAUAAACUACAGGUUUCACUGUAGAGCAAUGCGGUCAAGAUUUGCAGCUGUCCUUUCAUAAUUUUUUGGCUUCAGCAGGUCAACAUACUUUAGGUGCUUAGAAUUUUCAUUAUUCUCAACAUUCAUACCAGAGGGCAAUUUGUUGCUUUGUGGGAUAAUGUUGACAUUUGACUCGUCGAGACAAACCUAAUUUUUUGGUGCAGAGGGGUGAUAUAAUUCUAGAAAAUUAGCUGGGGAUGUUAUGGCAUUUACGAAGGAGGUCGGCUGAUCCAUUCCAUGGAGUUGUUCAGCUAAUAUACCAGUCAUGCCGGUGAAAAUCGCGAUAAAGACAACCAGAGAUUAAAGAUUUUAUCGAAAGGGGUGUGGGUUUGAUUGGGGCUGAUUUAAAAGGGUAUUCAACAAGGGGCAUGUGUGGAGGAAGGACCUGCACACCGGAGUUGUGCUCCGGCGAGGUGAGAUGGUUAGCCUGACGGCGGAAAGAGGUUAGGUUUUUUUUAUUAUUAUUAUUAUUAUUAUUAUUAUGUGAUUACCGACAAUUAUGAUUUUCAUAAAAUAUAAAAUUAAUUUGAAGCAAAUAAAAAAGAAGAUAUUGAGAUAAAUAUAUUUCUCACACUAAAUAUAGUCAAACUUAUGGAGAACUAGUUUAUUUCAUGACGAAUAAUUGUCUUGAAAAAUUUAGUUUAAUCGUUGCUAAAAGUUAGCUUUGAUAAUAAAAUCUAUUGUCACCAAUAACAAAAAAAACGCUAUUAUUUCAUAUUGAUAUUAUUUUUUAAUUAGAAUUGAAUAAAUUAAAAAUAAAAUUAUAAAACAUGUUAGAUUGAUAAAAUUCACCCACAAUCAUACAAUUAAAAAAACUAAAAUUGCACUUAAGGUAAUAUCUCCUUAUAGAACAAACAAAAGUAAAAUAAGUCCAACACAAAGGAAAUCUAAUUGAAAUAUAGUACUAAAUAUUACUAUUCUAAACUAAGGUAGAUAUGUGGAGGUUUCUUCCAAAGUACCAAUAACGUGCUUGCAAUUGGUCUUCAUUCAACGCUCACUUUUACACCUGUGGAAAAGAGAAGAAAACUAUGAUUGAUGAUGUUGCUUUCAGAUUUACAACAAUAACAUGGCCGAUGUAUUCCCACAAAAUGGGGUUUGGAGAGGAUAAAGUGUUUAUACUUUUCAUAUGUUACUGACCAAAACUCUUGCACGUACUAUAUCAAUCCUAAUAAACCAUUUCCCUAAAACUAGUAUCAUCACCUUCAUACGGUCAUUAUUUUCAUAGCAGUAAUUAUCUAAAGUUCAUGCAUAAUAUCUAGUACUAAACAUAAUGGAAAUAAUUAUCCUUUAUUCUACACAAAGAUACAUUUUUUAAAGUAGAUUCAAGAAAUACUAGUCUAUUAAAAGUUCAUGAAACAGUCGAUCUUAAUCACUCGUCUAUCUAAUUACAACUUGUCAGCACGUUUUACUUCAUAACAUCAUUAUUACUUGUUCAUUCACAAUACAUAUUUUUUCUAAACUAUGUGCUUAAACCUGCAAGUAUCAUAGGGUUCUUUCUUAAAAAUCAUAAAAAUAUAGCCUAAAUUGGCAAUUUCUGACCACUUUAUCCUUCCACUCAUAAUUUAUACUUGCACUUUACUACCACAUAACAUGCCAUAAAAUCCCAAUUCAGGAUAGAUAACAGUAGAACCAAAAACAAACUUAAAAGCACACAACAAGAAUGCAUGGUGUUUAUAAUAAGAAAAUGUUGAGAUUGACUUAAAAUGGUGCUCUACUCCCUGACUCUUGGUGUCAACUAUUAUUAGUAGAACUGCAUAUGCAGGAGGUUGAAAUUGUUGGUACUUUCUAGCGGCUCUCCAUAAAAAGGACCAAUUUAUGCCUUGUUGGAAAAGAAAAAAGACAACAACAACAACAAACCUAGUGUAUUCCUACAAAGUGGAGUCUGGGGAGGGUAAGAUGUACACAGUCCAUACCGCUACCUCUGAAGAAGUAGAGAGGCUAUUUCCGAUAUACCCCCAGCUUAAGAUAUAGAACAGUAAAUAAUGGGAUGGAUGACAUAAUAGAAAAUCAGGAAUAAGAAAUAAUAAAAUAGCCACCAGAGUGGAAAAGAAAAAAAAUCAAAAUAAAAAAACAAAUUGAAGAAGAAAGAAUACAAAUUUUAAUAGAAAAUUUUCAAGGGAGAAGAAAGUCCGAGAAGAAAAAAAAUGGUUCUACGGGAGAUCACAUUUGGAACAACGUAUAUUUUGGGUCUAAAACGAACUUACAAGCUGUUUUUGAAGAUUCAGCAUAAGCUCAUUAGUCCUAAAUAUCCCAGCCUUCGUGAUUUCGCUCAUAGGCGAACACUAGCUGCAUUUGAUGUGGUACUGACCAUUUAUCGCAAGGUACAGGAAAGAGAUAUUGAAGCUGGUCGGAACCUUGGUAAUUGAAUCCUUCGAUGGCUUGACAAAAUGAAGCCAUCUGAUAAUAUUCGAGGUUUAAAUAACAAUGCAACUACGAGUGCAUCUAAGCGGCUUACGAACUCAUCACACUCCCCCAAUCUCGAAACUUUCUAGAAAUAUGGUGCUGGCAAGGACAAGGAAUCCAGCAGUAGACAUCUGUUUACCUCAGCUAGGAACACAUGACAGAAAGCUUACCCAACCAUUUCCAUGAUGAUUAAACCAAGAAGCCCAGCUGAAACAAAUAUCCAAUACAAGUAGUUCAACUCUAUUUUACCAAAUAGUUUCAGCGCCAUGAAUCAUGCCAAAUAUAGUUUUAAGGGAGUGAUCUGACCGAAUGUAUUACAGUGGAUUCAACAAAGCUAAUCCAUUAACUACUUUGCUGCUGCUUUUUGGACUUUUCACUAGUGGAGCUGAACCCUCGAGAAAAGGCAUAUCUAAUACAAAUAAUAGCUAACUAAAUCAGUGUCAUCAUGGAAAUUGAAGGUUCUGAUUUGUAGCCUUGUGGUUUCUGUUUUGUUUUCUUUCGGAUGGACCUAGUCCUUUCCAGUCAAUAUAUGUAAAAUUCAAUCUUAACAACUCUACCAGUAACAUACCCAUCAAGAAUAUGUUGGAAUACGUUGAUGCACAUAAUUUAUAUAUUUAAUAAAGAGAACUUAAAUUGAACUUAUCAUAUAAAUUUAUGUUACCUCUAAACUUACGGCGAUGGGCUAACAAGAAGUUGCAUUUUCUUAAGUAUUUCCUCUUGGCGUGCCACUACAGCAUUCAAUUGAGAAUUUAAUGCUUUGAUCUACGACUGCUGAUCUUGUAUCUGUGAUUGUUGGCUUUCUUCCAUAGUUUCAGUUGCAUUUAAUCAUUUUUGUAACUCAUUUUGGGCACUAGCAGCUUCCAUUUUCGCCUUUUUGGGGGAAUCUUCUAACUCUGUCGUUCUCCUUUGUGUUGCCAUUGUAGUAUUAGAUUUAAGACCAUAACCAAGACCUUUUAUGUACCUGACUUUGUACCAGGUACAACAUCCAGUUUUUCAACAAUAGUCAUGGAAGACUCUCUAGAAGUAUAUAGAGCUUUCAAAUCGCUCAUGUUGUUCAGCAUAAAAUAAUAACACAUUUAAAGGAGAAGACAUGAAGAAGAUUAAUCAA
rnacentral:lncRNA from 1 species